GCUUACGACCACACCGGCCUGAGUACGCCUGAUCUCGUCUGAUCUCGGAAGCUAAGCCAGGGUCGGCCUGGUUAGUACUUGGAUGGGAGACCGCCUGGGAAUACCUGGUGCUGUAGCUU
rnacentral:rRNA from 1 species